AAGCGCUGAAAGCAUCUAAGCGCGAAGCUGGCCCCGAGAUGAGUCAUCCCUAGAGCCUCGAGCUCUCUAAAGGGUUGUUCUAGACGAGAACGUUGAUAGGCAGGGUGUGUAAGCGCUGUGAGGCGUUGAGCUAACCUGUACUAAUGGCCCGUGAGGCUUAACCAUACAACACCCAAG
rnacentral:rRNA from 1 species